rnacentral:rRNA from 1 species
UACGUAGGGAGCAAGCGUUGUCCGGAAUCAUUGGGCGUAAAGCGCGCGUAGGCGGCCCUGUAAGUCCGUUGUGAAAGUCAAAGGCUCAACCUUUGAAAGCCGAUGGAUACUGCAGGGCUAGAGUCCGGAAGAGGCGAGUUGAAUUCCUGGUGUAGCGGUGGAAUGCGCAGAUAUCAGGAGGAACACCAAUAGCGAAGGCAGCUCGCUGGGACGGUACUGACGCUAAGGCGCGAAAGCGUGGGGAGCGAACAGG